rnacentral:rRNA from 1 species
GGGUACUCGAGUGGCGAACGGGUGAGUAACACGUGGGUGAUCUGCCCUGCACUUUGGGAUAAGCCUGGGAAACUGGGUCUAAUACCGAAUAUGACCACGCGCUUCAUGGUGUGUGGUGGAAAGCUUUUGCGGUGUGGGAUGGGCCCGCGGCCUAUCAGCUUGUUGGUGGGGUAAUGGCCUACCAAGGCGACGACGGGUAGCCGGCCUGAGAGGGUGACCGGCCACACUGGGACUGAGAUACGGCCCAGACUCCUACGGGAGGCAGCAGUGGGGAAUAUUGCACAAUGGGCGCAAGCCUGAUGCAGCGACGCCGCGUGAGGGAUGACGGCCUUCGGGUUGUAAACCUCUUUCAAUAGGGACGAAGCGCAAGUGACGGUACCUAUAGAAGAAGGACCGGCCAACUACGUGCCAGCAGCCGCGGUAAUACGUAGGGUCCGAGCGUUGUCCGGAAUUACUGGGCGUAAAGAGCUCGUAGGUGGUUUGUCGCGUUGUUCGUGAAAACUCACAGCUUAACUGUGGGCGUGCGGGCGAUACGGGCAGACUAGAGUACUGC